UCCUAACUGAUACAAUACACACAAUUAAUGAGAUACAGAUCACAUUUCAUUCUCUCCCUUUCUCUCUCGAUUGCUUUUUAUUCUCUUCUAACAAGUUCCAUUAUCAUGGUAUCAGAGCUUGCAAUCGAUCAAUUUUGUUAGGGUUUCUUCUUGAAAUUCGUUUUGGAUUUUGAUUGACUAUUGAUUUCGAGCAUAAACAUGGCGUUGGAAGAAGCUAAUGAGUAUACACCUGAAAGUUCUAGAAAAAGAGAUUCGGUGUUGAACAAAAGCUCAAAUUACGAUAAUGGAGAUCCUUUGUAUCUUCAAUCUUCUGAUCAUCCAGGUAGCACCGCUUUUCUGCGUUUCUUGAAGCUCCAAUUGUAGGUCCAUCGUCCUUCUAUUUUGGUACUUCUGGAACUAAGAAUUGGUGGGGUGAGGGCAGAUAAAGUGAUUAAGAAAUUGAGUUUUCAUUCUUCUCAUAGAGUGGAGCCAAAUAGGCUUUCUGGUGGCAUGGAUCUUGUGGCAGGAAUCCUGGACUACUAACAUUUUGAUGAGUCAUAAACAAUUCAUUCACCGUCAACUUUUAUGUAACAAAAUUGUUUCUAUAUUUUUUUACUGCUGUUUAUAGGAGUCUGGUUGAAAGUAGGCAGGCACCUUUAUGGGACUCCCUACAAGCUAUUAAUGAAGGAAUGGCGGCUCCUUGGAUCCUAGCAUAGGAUUUUAAUUCUAUUUUGUUAGCAGAAGAGCGUCAAGGGGACUCUCAUUCGAGAGUUGGUAUUUGUAGAAGUUUCGUUUCCUGGUUUGGAACUAAAACCUUCUGGACCUGGGUUUUAAAGGCCCUAAGUUUACUUAGAGACGAGGUACUCUUCAUGAAUGUUUGGAAGCUUAUAUUCUUCUUUGCCCAUCAUCUCUAUAAUUAUUUUUAUUUUUUAA